UACGAAGGGGGCUAGCGUUGCUCGGAAUCACUGGGCGUAAAGGGUGCGUAGGCGGGUCUUUUAAGUCAGGGGUGAAAUCCUGGAGCUCAACUCCAGAACUGCCUUUGAUACUGAAGAUCUUGAGUUCGGGAGAGGUGAGUGGAAUUCCCAGUGUAGAGGUGAAAUUCGUAGAUAUUGGGAAGAACACCAGUGGCGAAGGCGGCCAACUGCCCGAUACUGACGCUCAUGUGCGAAAGCGUGGGGAGCAA
rnacentral:rRNA from 1 species